CCCAGAGAGGAGGAUUCUGGGAAACAGUUACAGUCCAAAGGGCUUUAAUUUAAACAGAAAUAUGUUAAAUUAGAAGAAAACAGAAAAAAGUCUCAAAUCUGCAUCACAUGUGAGACAAAAAUGAGGUUUAGGUCUUCUUUAGCUGCAGCUUGAACGCUAACAUGCUAAUGCUAACGACACGGCUCUCUGGGGAACAGGAAGUGGAAUCAGGACACUUUAGAAACAGGAAAUGAAUUGUUGUGGAAAACUUCCUGCUGCAGGAACCAUUAUCAAAGAUGGCAGGAAGGAGGGAAUGAAUGAGCAAACAGAGAAACCAGGUGACCCAGUCAGGGCUGUGCAGGUGAAUGAAUCAAACAGCCUCAGCUUCACCUCCCUGCUGACAGGAAGUGAGUCACUAACCUUCAUCACCUGAGCUGUCUCAUCCUCCCACCCUGCUGAGGUCACAUCAGAGUCAGGACAUACACCAAGUCUUAUGUUGGUCCCUCAGAACCUCCGGCCUGUCACGGCUUCAAUAAUUCAGCAGAAACAAUCGGAACCAGGUUUCUGCGGUUCUGCUCUAAACCACCGACACGCUGCCUUCAGGAGCGUCAGGAAAUCCCAGCCCCGUCUGAACAGCCAUCAGCCCCACGUUGAUUCCAGGACUGAUGGAGAUGAUUCUGUUUUCCAGGACAGAUUUUAUUAAAAUCCUCCAUGACGUCCAAU